UACAGAGGUCUCAAGCGUUGUUCGGAUUCACUGGGCGUAAAGGGUGCGUAGGCGGGUCUUUAAGUCAGGGGGGAAAUCCUGGAGCUCAACUCCAGAACUGCCUUUGAUACUGAAGAUCUUGAGUUCGGGAGAGGUGAGUGGAACUGCGAGUGUAGAGGUGAAAUUCGUAGAUAUUCGCAAGAACACCAGUGGCGAAGGCGGCUCACUGGCCCGAUACUGACGCUGAUGCACGAAAGCGUGGGGAGCAAACAGG
rnacentral:rRNA from 1 species